UGGGGAAUAUUGCACAAUGGGCGCAAGCCUGAUGCAGCCAUGCCGCGUGUGUGAAGAAGGCCUUCGGGUUGUAAAGCACUUUCAGCGAGGAGGAAGGUGGUGAGCUUAAUACGCUCAUCAAUUGACGUUACUCGCAGAAGAAGCACCGGCUAACUCCGUGCCAGCAGCCGCGGUAAUACGGAGGGUGCAAGCGUUAAUCGGAAUUACUGGGCGUAAAGCGCACGCAGGCGGUUUGUUAAGUCAGAUGUGAAAUCCCCGGGCUCAACCUGGGAACUGCAUUUGAAACUGGCAAGCUAGAGUCUCGUAGAGGGGGGUAGAAUUCCAGGUGUAGCGGUGAAAUGCGUAGAGAUCUGGAGGAAUACCGGUGGCGAAGGCGGCCCCCUGGACGAAGACUGACGCUCAGGUGCGAAAGCGUGGGGCAGCAAACAGGAUUAGACACCCUGGUAGUCCACGCUGUAAACGAUGUCGAUUUUGGAGGUUGUGCCCCUUGAGGCGUGGCUUCCGGAGCUAACGCGUUAAAUCGACCGCCUGGGGAGUACGGCCGCAAGGUUAAAACUCAAAUGAAUUGCGGGGUCU
rnacentral:rRNA from 1 species